GGGAAUGGGACAUCUGCAGACCUGAACCUUGAGGCUGGCCUGAUAUUUAUAGUGGAUUUGGUCUUGAUUUACAUGCUCCUGAA
rnacentral:lncRNA from 1 species